UAAAAGUUAUGUGUCAGGGUCAUGUGGCCUCCAUAGUCAGCAGUAGAAUCUCAGUUUUCAAUAGCUUUUCCUCUCCUUUCUCACUUUCAGAUUUAGCUCCAUAACUUAAUCUCUGACUAAAUGAGCUUCCCAGGGUUUCAGUGCAGCACUGUGGAAUUCACACAGCUUUUCCCCCUUUCCUCUGGCUGCCAGCAUGACAACCCGAAAUGCAUCUCAGGGACUGCUGCAUUUCCAGAAUAUGCAAAACCACUUCAUCUUCACCGCGCGACUCUGUGUAGCAAGGAUAAAUCAGAGAUUUGUAAAAGGAACUGCAUUUGAAGAAAGAAGGGAAAGUAUGUAUUGUGCUUGGAAAGUGAGAGGUAUCUGGCGUAAAUAUUCUUUGUCUUCAUAUCUGAAAACUUUUCACAGGAGAUGAGAAGUAACCCAGCUUCCCACAGCACUCUGCAGAUACAGCUUUUGCUACAAGCAGCCCACUUACCUAAAAUACCUGCUGGUGUAACCUGGCACUAGAGUUACCACCCCAAGGACCAACAAAAUCAACAUCUCCUCAAAUAGAUAUCACUCAAAACAGAAAAGCAUUUUUUGUUUGUUUGUUUUGUUUUUGUUGUUUUGUAAGGAGCUUCUUGAAACAAGCCAAACUUGUAUCCAUGCAAUGUUUGUACUACUCCAGCCCCAAGGAGCCAUUGUACCUCAUGCUCCUCCCUUAGGCCCUCAGAGAAGCAAGAUGUUUCUAACAGGCAGCUCGCUGAGAAAAAUUUGUAAGCAAUAAGCGUGGACAAGGACCUGUCUAACUCAACCAAACUCAGUAAGAGAUUUAGGGUAGGCACUGGUCCAUGUUUCACUCAGAAGAGCACUAAGCUGCAAGGGACACCCACUAAGUACCUCUCUGUUCUGUGCCAUACCACAGGGUACAUACACUAUUCAGAUUUCUAUUCUGCCCACCAAAAUAUUUGAAAUAAAGUUGUCAAACCUCACGAUUUUCUGUGGAGCGUCCUGGAACAGUCCUCAGCAGAUUGUUCAACCAAUGCAGGCCUUCAGCUACUGCUGACUUCCAUUUGUUUUUCAGCAGCUGCAUCUGUGAGAGGAUGAUCAACUUAUUUGAGCAUUCACUUUUUUAUUACUCUUCUCACCAAGUGACAAGUGCUUCAGCCCUGCCUAACCAACUUAUAUCACCUCCUGGAGCCACGGAGACAUUGCCUCCUCAGAGCUGCCUCUUCCUGCUGCUGCUUAUUCCUUCUUGGUCUCCACCAUGUCUCUAGGUUAUGGAGUUCAUCUGAAAUACAGCUCAAGUCCCAGCCAGAAAAAAUAAAUUUUAAAAUAAGUCUACCUAUGCUUUAAGGGCUGGCAUGACAACCUGGCCACCCCAGCAAGACCUCCACCAGCCUGUUUCACCUCUGCUUCUGGAAUCUACACUAGCUGUGAUGAGCUGGGAAUCACUGUGGUUUGAAACAGCUGGACUUCUUUCUAGCAGGUACAAGGAAAUUUGCCCACUUCUUUUAGGAAAUAAAGUAAAGAAUUUAGCUAGGAUUAUGUGUUAUAUCCUGCUCACUGUAUCCUUAUCAUUUUCAAAGUCUCUUCAAGGUAUCUCAUUACAGAAUUCUGUAAGGCCCGUAUUAGAGCUCAUUAAGUGAUUUUUCUCGUACCAGAACUUUGUUCCAAAUCUUCCCAGAUGUCACACUAAAAAGUUCUAAUCCUCAAAAUACAGGAUUGUAUAAAAGAGAAGCAACACCUAAACCUUUUCAGCCAAUUUUAUAAUGCUACCUAUAAACCAUACUCUAUAGAACCUACAUAUCUGCAUCCAAGCUACAUACAUGAGCACAAAGAGUGGUAAAAACUCCUCAGCUUCUCUGACUCAAAGCAAAAUGGUUCCUAUAGCACACACUCAUCCUUUUAUAGCCCCUUUCCUUACCCUCUUUUUUGCUCUGUGAACCCACAGCUUCACAUGGAGAGGAAAUUAAUUAAUUAAUUAACCCCUUACAUACAAGAAAUAAAGCCAUUUCAUAUUUUAUCAUACUUUUGUGAAAAAUAAACUGCUGCAUGAUCAGAGUUCUUGGAGCCAAAGGCUGAGCUAACACCACCCCUGAUUUGGGGACAGGUGUCACAGUCCUUUAAUCUGCAGUAACAGCCUUUAGCUGUAUCACAAUUAACACAAGUCCUUGUGCCAAAGUGUAACGAAUUUGUGUGUUCUCCAUGGACCUGCUUGCAGUCUGAGGUGAGAACUAAUGAAAUGUCAGGGCUACACGAGGAAGACAAGGACAUGGAAGCAGAGGGAAAGAAUAAUAAGAAUACAAGCAUCUGCGUGCAGAGGACAAAUCUGCUCUCUCUCAUGUUAGGCAGACACUUUGUAAGGCAUUGGCAACCGAGCCAUCCCUUUCCUGCAAUCACUCUGUUUAGUUAGGACUGAACCCAAAGGCAGUUUGUACAGGACUUCGUUUGAACACAUCCCUUCAGUUUAUUGUUUUUGUUUUGUUUUGUUUUGUUGUGUUUUUCCUUCUAUGCAUCUUCAUCCUUCAUGGUUGAUUUAGAUUAUGAUGUAAACUAACUGAACGUGACACAGCUGCUCUCUUCAAUAACCAAGGAGAUGCCGGCUGCCACUCACCCUGGCAUGCUGGUGAUUCACAGCAGGGCCUACUGGGCUUAUGGGGGCCCUCUUUUUUGGCAUCUGUCUAUACCAUCCUCAUGCAGUUUGCUGAAACAAAACCAGUGAUGUUAGCAGCAUAUGGGCAGCCAGAAUAGGGGUCAUUUACCUUAUUUGCCAACAAAGUAGAGGACAAGGCCCAGUGGAACAGCAAUAGAUUGAGAAGAGCUGGCGGCAGAGCAGCUGAAGAGGAAACCGUGAGCAGGAAGGAUCCCAGGAGUCACCUCUGCCCAUACGUCCCUUUCCUUUGAAAUGUUUAGUUUAUGAGGUCUGUACAAACUAUUUGGUUUUAAAUUAUAUGAGUUUUGAUCAGCUGAACUGCCUCUGCCAAGCCAAACUCAUAUGGUGGAAAUGGACACCCCACCUCAGAUAUGAAGGCCAACUCCAAAGUUUGCUGAAAGCCGAGAAAGAUUUUGUUGACAAUCAAAUUCAUGUAAGAGCUAACAAAAAAAAAAAAAAAUCACUUCCAUCUGUGUACGGUUUGACUAAUACAGGCUUGGCCUGACACUGGAGAAGCCAAAAAUCUGUCAGGGAUUUGAUCUAAUUGUACAUCUAACCUGACCAGAAGUAAGAAUAAUUGGAAACCUCUCAAGUAGAUUGUUCUUCGUAACUUACUGGGACAAGCCACACACCAUCAGCUUGCACAACCCAACUUCUGCGAACAAAAGCAGUCUGGAUAAUUUUGGAGAAGACACCAAGCAUUCAGACUUACAGAUUAGCUUUCUCUGUCACUGCCAGAAAAAAAUUAGGAACUUAUUUCUGCUGCGUAAUACCUCUAAGGCAUAAGGUUACAGCACUGGACAUGUUUUAACAUACAGGCUAUGCUGAAACAAAGAACUUGAUGAAGGUGGUUAGUGAAGAAAAAUAGCAGAAUAACAGAAUGAUGUCUGCAUAAACCAAGGAUGACAAAUCUGCUGUUACAUGAAAACAUAGGUAUAUGGCACCAUGAAUUUAAAAGGUGUCUCACAUAGUAGACACAGUUCAAAUAUUUAUUAUGACUCAGGUUCAUGAAAAAUUUCCCCCUUUUCAUUAGCAAUUUUUGCCUGCAAAAUUAAACUCACUCAUUGUACUUGUGUUCAUAACAUGCAACUAUUCUACAAAAUGCUACCUCUCUUUCUAUAUCUAUAUAAAUGCUUAUUUAAGUUUCUCGUCUCUUCCCUGUGUAGUUCUUCUUGUAUCCAAGAACAUAUAUAUUUUUAUAAAACCCUCAAUUUUGGGAGUUCACUGCUUCCUAAAAUUGUUUAGGAUUAUAGCCUCAGAUAGCACUAUUUUACUUGACAGUUUUACCAAAAUCUUUGUGUUUUAAAAACUACUUUUCUUGUUGUUUGUUUGUUAUCAAAUUAAUAUUAAAAGGGGGACAUGUAAUUUUAUAUCUAUCUCAAGUUUAUUGAAAUAUAACCACAGGAAAAAAAAAUCACAAUCAGACUUUUUAGUGUUUCAUCAAUUAUAUCAGAAAUAUACAUUAAAAUGCAUUCUUUUCCUUAAACUGUAUGUCUCAGUCUGUAACAGUGUCUGUACCUCUUGAUUGAGUAAAAUGUUUAACAAAUACCUUUAGUGUUUUAAAUAAAACAAAUUACAUAUAAGUAUGAAAAGUAAAAA